GGUAAUGGGAUGACAUGCGCUCCUGCUACUGUAUAUAAGAAAAGCUCAACAUUCAGAGCAACAAAAAACCUCCUUGACUCUCUGCGAGAUAAACUGCUGAAGGUGUAAAGAUUUGAAGUGUGAUCACUGCAACAAUGCUGAAGGUAGCUCUUGUGCUUGGAUGCCUCCUGAGCCUGGUUCUGGCUCGUCCUAGUGACAUGGAGCAUAACCGGUUUGCUCGGUCAGACUCAUCUGGAUCAGAUGAGGCUACCACCACUACCACUGCUACGACUACUACCCAGGCUGGGGCAACCACAACCCCCAAUUUGGCCGCCAUCAUACAACUCCUACUGCAGCUACUCAAUAGAAACUGAAAUGUAACUUAUAUAUCAGUGAAUGAAACCCAGUAAUUAAUUACAGAUGUUUGAUCUGCUCAGUUUUUUUCAGUGUGAUGUUGUUCUCAGAAUCAUCUCUACAGUACAUGAUACUGUCCUGAUCAUACCAGUGCAAUAAAACAUACUGUAUGGGUCAUUUCACUUUGUUUUCUGGAGUAACUACUAAAUAAAGUUUGUGAAUUGAAAACAUG